rnacentral:tRNA from 1 species
GCCUCGGUGGUCUAAAGGCUUAGAACGCUCGUACGAAAUACAAAAGAUCCGGGUUCAAGUCCCGGUCGAGGUA